rnacentral:lncRNA from 1 species
UUUCAACUACUCAUCCAUCAUGCUGUCCAGUCCACCUAAGACCAGCCAGACCCAUAUUCCAGUUUUACAAACUCCGGUGACUGUGAUUUUCCUUCCAGUGGGAACUUCCAAUCUGGUCACCCAUCCUAGGUUUCUCCAAGUUGAGCACGCUUAACUUGAGAUUCCUUCGAACCAGGCUUCCAAACUCAGAUUCCAAUAAUUCUCGUUUCUAAAUUCUUAUCGAAUUAUUUCCUAUCCAACCAUGUCAUCCCAUAAGCAUGGUUCAUAUUCCAGAAAACUCCUAAAAUACUCUUAUCCCAUAUUCUGCCUAUAAUCUCUCUGUUCAGACUAAGUCAGACGAUUCAUUCGUCACUAUUCUCACCAAAAGUGAACUUCGCUGUGCUACACCACAUACACCCAGCUAUAAAUACACCCAGCUACCCUCUCCCUCUCCACACACACGCAACACCCUCAGCCAAGGGAAACACCCCACUCACUCAGUUACUCCGCUCUGCCAGCUACACGCAUAGUGUCGCUUCGUCUCCAGUCCACCCUCCUGGUAAGCACCUUCGCUCCACCACCAGCAGUAUCUCAACACCACAUGACACAUAUUCUACUCAAGACUCUACCCAUCCAUAUAUCACUAUUCUGACCACUAUACUAAAUAUUUGUUGGUAUACUUGUUGGUUUGUAUGUUUGCUUGUUCAUGUUGCAUAGUUAUCGGAGCGUUCGUACCGUCUCGUGGAGGCCAGAUCUACAAGUCUACGCCAGGAGCCAGAAGCUAGUUCCGCGAGCUCUCCUUCCCCCCUUCGCCGGAUAAGCACGGCAAGCUCACUGGAUCCCUUUGAUGCAUAAAUUACCCAUGAUUUUUCAACCACAACCCUUAGCCUGUUAUUUUAUGCAUGAUAUGAUUUUGAGACAAGUUAUUAUGGCCACCCAAGCCGCUUGCCGCAAUCAAUACUUGAUAUAUUCGUUACAAAUGAUUUGAGAAAAGGUGUGAGUUUUCAAAAGAAAAUGCUUUUCAAAAUGUGUAUGAUGAAGGGUUUUCACCCUUAUCACCUUGUGAGUGGGAUAAUCAGGGACUCCCUGGUUUAGGGGAGGGCCUAAGGUGAUGGCUCAGCUGGUUUAGGCGUGAGCAGAAGGAUUGUCCCCUCGUAUAAGGACCGGUUUGUCAUCUUUCACUACCUAUACUCAUGACAAGUACAACCACUCGAGACUGUGUGGGCAGUCACUCAAUCUGAACUCGUACGGUCCAACCCCAGGGUUAUGAAGGCUGGGGAGCACCGGGAGGAUAAGGAGGGGGAAAGUUUUGUCCGGUUUGGACAUGGUGGUGGCCUGACUCCUUCCGGAUAACCGUUAAGGUUAGGACGUGCGGGGAAAGAAAGAGAUUCGGAUUCGGAUCUCACUGAUCAUGAGAUCGCAGAGCCGGACUAGUGGGUAAAGUGUACACCUCUGCGCAGAGUCUAAACCUAUUCGAAUAGUCCGUGUCCACAGGAAUGGACGAGUAUGGUAUGGUAUGGCAAUUAAUGUUUUGUUUUCAAAAAAGGGUGUGUUUGAGAAAAAUGGUUUUUUAAAAGGUUCGGCGGUUCAGCCGUGAGCUAUGGUGGACGGGAAGUCCAAUAGCUGUUUUUGAAAAGGAAAACCAGUGGGAAACUGCUGAGAUACCUGGAUGGUUUAGUCCAGGGGAUUUUCGUUCUAAUAUUGAAAAACUUCCUGCUCCUUUGGGAGAGGAUGCGCUUUGCAAAAUACAAAAUGUUUUACAAAACAACCCUGCAUAAAAUAUUGCUGUUUCUGCAAAAUAUCUUGAGCUCCACAUAUUCCAUGCAUUAUAUCUGAUUUCCCCAUUCCGCGGGUGAAGGUGGGCUGCUGAGUACGUUUGUACUCACCCUUGCUUAUUUAUUUUUUUCAGAAAAAGGAGAUCGGGUAAGAGUUACGGUUGUUCCCAACCUUGCCUGUGGCUGUUGGACCGCUGAUUUGCUUCACUGCGUAUAUCGGGCUGCUUCGGCCCCACUCUGAUGAUAUGUCCCGAGUUGUGGACCAACUCUUAAAGUUGAUCGCCACCUUUAUAGGUUUGUCUCGUUUAAGCAGAUCUGUAAUCAUCUGAUGUAUAAAUGUGUUUACUAGCCUCCUGGGACUAGUAAUUGUAUCACAUUUGAGUCCCAGAGGAUUGGGGACGCUUCAGGUGGUAUCAGAGCUGUUAGGUUGGCCGCAGGACGUAACCCUUAGCCUGAUCAAAAGUUUUUGAGUCAAAACUAUUUUCUUAAAAAAAUCUUGCUCUCAUCCCUUCAUUUCAAAAAUGCUUUCCCCCUUUCCUUCUCUUAGAAGUCAGAUGGAGGUCCGCUGCCAAACUAGCUUUUGCCAGAAUGAAGAUGGUUUCCCCAAGUUGCUGAGAGCAUGCGCAGUUCACCUCGGAAUCAGGAGCCAGCCAGAGUAUGAUGGUCGUGAAUUCGUCGAGCAUGGCACAGAGAAGUGUGUCGUGACUGUAUACAUUGGAUCCAGUCCGCACCAUGUGGAAUGGAGUGUCACUGCUGCUGGGCACAGAUUCAAAGACACCUGUCAAGUCGUCGCUCGCAAGGCAUUGAGGACCCUAUGUCAGAUCUAUGAAGAAGAAGUGGCUGACACCCCGCUCAGAUUCUUUCCGCCCUUUCAGAGAGACCGUCCUGUUUGGAUGGCCAGGAUGCGUGCAUUGGAAGGUCAGCAGCUGCUUGAGGACGACCCCACAGUCGUGUACCUCACUGCAUACCUGCUCACCCUGGAUGCGCAGUAUGAUUUCUUGGCUCGGCACCACCGUCAGAUGAUUGCUCGAGCAGAAGAUGCAGAGAAGCUGCCAGAUCUGAGUUAGUUAUGCCCAGUCCUCUGCAUGCAUUGGGUAGUGGAGUUUUUCUUCACUUUGGCUAGAGCCCUGCAUGUAUGAGAGGUAAUCGUGUAGACUCGUGUGUUGAAAAACUCUAUUUGUGUGGCCCCCUAGGGCAUUUCAAAAUGAAUUUCGCUUGAUGUUUUCUCCUCUUUUGAGUGCAUAUGUGAUGCUUUAACGUUAGUGCUCAUAAGUUGCAUUUAGCAUAGUUCUUAAUUCAGGAGCCAAGCAAUAGUAGUUAUGCUUAGCCCCCGAAUCCAAGUAGUCCGUGAUUUGGGAAAACUCUAUCCUUCCCUUAUUCAAAACAUUUGAUUUGUUUGUGCUUAUCAUUGCUGAGCUUGUGUGUUUUCUUUCUUUUUAAGAUAGGUUUUCUCUAAAAACAUAGAUCACAAAUUAGAGCUAAUCCUCACCUUAUGCUUCCAUUCUCAUCUUAACCCAUCUCAAGAGAAAAGUGCCUUACCCAAGAAGAUACCGGAAGCUUGCCCUUGAAUCCUGGAAUAAGCUACAGAAGCAACCAGUCCAGCCGCUCAGUCAAAAGGACCGACCGUGAGAAUCAAAGCACUGCCCCUAAGUCAAAGUGAGCAGGAAAGAGGACAUAAGGAGUUAUUACCAUACAGAGAGGCAAAGAUUCUUGGAACCAGAGACCACAAACAUCAGGGUCAUUGACCUCACCACUCACUUGUGCCCCCCGCAUGCGUGCCCUGCCUCCUUGCGCACUACCACCGCCCCACACCCCCCCCUUUGCAGCGCACUACCACCACCCCACACCCCCCUUUGCAGCGCACCCACCGCCACCAUCGUCACCGGCAACAGGCCCCCCUUCCCCUUGUCACACCUGCUGCCUCGUGUCACCUACUCCAUCACCGCCACUCCGCACCCGAGCACCCACACUCGCCUAUAAAACCUCCCGCACCAGCUCCCUCAGUUCCCAUCCCAAGCAAAACACUCCAGAUAAAAUCCCCUCUGCCAAAUAGCAAGCAACUCCAUUUUCCACUCCCUCGCCCCUAAGAUCACAAUGCUUGGUGAUUCUUGGGUUGAAGACUGUUGUACAUGGUUCAUAGUCUUUGGCUUCCUCCUCUGUAUGAUGGUAAUACUCAUCGAUAGAAUCCUCCAGUGGGAAGAGCGAAGAGAAAGAAAGGGUCAGUGAAAAGAAGUUAGUGAAGAGAAGAUAAGAAGAAGGUUCUCCCAGAAAUCAACCCUGUGUCAGUCAUUUCUCCGCAGCCUGCUCAAGCAGCAACAGCAGAAGAAGGCCCUGUAACACCCUUGUUAUGAGGUACUUCAAGGAGUUCAAAUCCCCAAGAUUCAAGAGUUCUACCCUCAUUCUUUUUAAGUGGGGUAGUGUUCCAGCAAGGUUCCUGCUAUGGAGAAGAAGAAGAAGGCCUGUAGCAAGCUUGUGGAAGACCAGAUCAUCAAAGCAUAUAAGUUUCUGGAUGAGAAGUGAUCACCCAAGUUCCGUUGAUGAAGCACCAGAAGACCAAUCAAGGAAGGAAUCAAUGUGGAAUUUUGCAAGAGGAAGGUUUGUGUGUUGGCAUCGUUGCUUCCUCAAUAAGUUGGCUGCCAAGCGAAACCUAGAAGCCUGAAGAUGGUCUUUGAGUAGCCAGAAUCAGCGUUUGCAAUCAGCAACCGGAUGCUCCGCAAGGGCCAGAUUUUGUUGAAGUUCCAUCUCCUCGAAGAGUCUGUAAAGUGAAGAUAUGUAGCUGAAGUAAAGCUAUACCCAUAACCCUUCUAAGCCAAAUCUCGAGGACGAGAUUCCUUUUAAGUGGGGUAGAUUUGUAGCAUCCCAAAAAUUCAAAUCCUGAAAUUUUCUCAAACUUGCUCUAAAUUCAAAAUGAAUUUCAAAUUUCAUUUCAAAAUGUUUGUUUGCGAGUUGAUAUCAACAAAUAAAAUAUAGUGGUCUAUAUUCUCUCUAAAAUCCUCCUCAAAAUAUUUCCCCAGUGAUCACCCUCAAACUCUUUCAGAAAUACUGCCCAAAUAUUCCACCGAUAUAUGUCCAAGUAUUUUUCUUCCUGAGAAAUACCUUCAGAAUCAUUUUUCAAGUCCCUACAAAUAUUUUCUUCAUAACUUUUCUCAUGCUCAUACGUAUACGUAUGCCUCCGGUGUCAUACGGUGAGCUCUACAAGCUAAUUACACUCAUAUAAGACAAAUCCAUGCUAAUCUCCCACUAAUCCUCUCAUCCUCCCACUAAUCCCCUCAUCCCUCCCCCUAAUCCCCCCACCAUGGCUAUAAAUAGAGGGGCAAGGGCCUCCUCUCAUCCCACCCCAAGCCAUUUCAUGGCAACUCUCCCCCCCACACACACCCACUCCAUGUUCCACACAAGCACACACUAGCACAAGGAUCGUUCGGUCGUUCUUCGAUCGUUCGUCCCCCUGUUCUUAGUUUGUUCGUUCGUUCGUCCUAUCGUUCGAUCAUUCGUCCGAUCGUUCAUGGUUCGUUCGUCCGUUCGUCCGAUCGUUCGAUCGUUCGUCCGUUCGUUCGUCCAAAUAAUCUUUUUCCUGCCGUUAUGCUGCCGAAAUUCCGAUCGUUCGUUCGUCCGAUCGUUUGAUCGUUCGUCCGAUCGUUCAUGGUUCGUUCGUCCGUUCGUCCGAUCGUUCGAUCGUUCGUCCGUUCGUUCGUCCAAAUAAUCUUUUUUCUGCCGUUAUGCUGCCGAAAUUCCGAUCGUUCGUUCGUUCGAUCAUUCGAUCGUUCAUCGUUCGUUCAUAGUUCCUAUCCAUCGUUCAUCGUUCGUUCAUACGAACUAUUCACCAUCACUAUUUACCGUUAGGUACUUUUUACCGUUACUUUUUACCGUUACUAUUUACCGCUACUUUUUACCGUUACUUUUUACCGCUACUUUUUACCGUUACUAUUUACCGUUACUUUUUACCGUUACUUUUUACCGUUAUUAUUUACCGUUACUAUUUACCGUUACUUUUUACCGUUACUUUUUACCGUUACUUUUUACCGUUACUAUUUACCGUUACUAUUUACCGUUACUUUUUACCGUUACUAUUUACCGUUAGUAUUCACCGUUACUAUUCAUCGAUCAUCCGAUCAUCCUAGAUUUCAACUACUCAUCCAUCAUGCUGUCCAGUCCACCUAAGACCAGCCAGACCCAUAUUCCAGUUUUACAAACUCCGGUGACUGUGAUUUUCCUUCCAGUGGGAACUUCCAAUCUGGUCACCCAUCCUAGGUUUCUCCAAGUUGAGCACGCUUAACUUGAGAUUCCUUCGAACCAGGCUUCCAAACUCAGAUUCCAAUAAUUCUCGUUUCUAAAUUCUUAUCGAAUUAUUUCCUAUCCAACCAUGUCAUCCCAUAAGCAUGGUUCAUAUUCCAGAAAACUCCUAAAAUACUCUUAUCCCAUAUUCUGCCUAUAAUCU